rnacentral:rRNA from 1 species
CCACGGGAGGCUGCAGUGGGGAAUAUUGGACAAUGGGCGAAAGCCUGAUCCAGCCAUGCCGCGUGUGUGAAGAAGGCCUUCGGGUUGUAAAGCACUUUCAGUGGGGAAGAAAGCCUUGGGGCUAAUACCCUCGAGGAAGGACAUCACCCACAGAAGAAGCACCGGCUAACUCCGUGCCAGCAGCCGCGGUAAUACGGAGGGUGCGAGCGUUAAUCGGAAUUACUGGGCGUAAAGCGCGCGUAGGCGGUCUGAUAAGCCGGUUGUGAAAGCCCCGGGCUCAACCUGGGAACGGCAUCCGGAACUGUCAGGCUAGAGUGCAGGAGAGGAAGGUAGAAUUCCCGGUGUAGCGGUGAAAUGCGUAGAGAUCGGGAGGAAUACCAGUGGCGAAGGCGGCCUUCUGGACUGACACUGACGCUGAGGUGCGAAAGCGUGGGUAGCAAACAGGAUUAGAUACCCGGGUAGUC